rnacentral:rRNA from 1 species
UACAGGGGGGGCAAGCGUUGUUCGGAAUUACUGGGCGUAAAGGGCUCGUAGGCGGCCGGCUAAGUCCGACGUGAAAUCCCCAGGCUUAACCUGGGAACUGCGUCGGAUACUGGCGGGCUUGAAUCCGGGAGAGGGAUGCGGAAUUCCAGGUGUAGCGGUGAAAUGCGUAGAUAUCUGGAGGAACACCUAUGGCGAAGGCAGCUCGCUGGGACGUUACUGACGCUGAGACGCGAAAGCGUGGGGAGCAAACAGG